CCCGAACAGUAACAAUAUAUUGCGUUAGCAAUGAAUUACGCCAUUAAUAUAUUUCCUAUUUUACAUUUCCAUGAAUAUUUUACCACCCAAUCCCUCUCCAUGCUUCUGGUCUCCUUUUUUCCUCUCUAAUCUUUUUCACUCUCAUGUGGAUACCUCUCUGGUUGAAGGACAAGCUUUUUCUCUCUCAUCUUGAUACAUUCUCUGGUUGAAGGACGAGACGCUCGGUGGAUAAGUUCCUCAGAGAAGCUCUUCAGAACCCUAGAGAAUGGCUAUCCAGAAGGUGUACAAGUGAUUCCCAAUGGUGGAUGACUAACACUCAAGGUGAAGUAGCUAAGGAGCAACAGAGGUCUAUAGCUAUGGGGGAGUAACAUCCAAGGCAAUGUAUUUGAGGAGCCCCAAUGAUUGGCUUAAUUUUUCACGCCAUCACUUUUUUUGAUAUCCAUUGGGGUGGUACGCAGGGGAGCUUUUGGGUCCAGAUUUCAAAGCAACAGAAACUAGCAAGAGGGUGAAGCAACGAAAAGGAAGAUACCAAAGUCUUAACUGCUAGUUAUCUACAAUUCUCUUUUGGUUUUGUGCAGGUGUACAAGUAACCACGAACACCCAAGGUGAAGUGGCUGCGGAGCAAUAGAGGUGUGUCACUAUGGGGAGCACAAACAACACCCAAGAGAGCAUGAGUAACAGCCAAGGCAAUGUGUUUGAGCAGCAGCAGUGAUUAGCUCAGUUUUUCAUGCCUUUUUGCACCAGGGCAAUGUGUUUGGGAUGCGACGCAGGUCAUAUAGCAUUUUUUGAGCUAACCACCUCUUGUUGUCUUUGGAAGUUUUUUGUAUGGAGCACCCAUUGUGUGGGAUGCCUAAACUUUUUAAACUUAGAUUUUUCCUUCUCAAUACAAACAUCGACAAUUCCAAGAAAAAAAGGAAAAGAAAUUACAUAGCUUCUUUGUGAACGGAUUUUUGGUUGCUAAUUUAAUGCAUGUAAGA